UUUUUUUUUUUUCCUUUUGUUUGAAACAAAACCUAUGACACUCGUCACUUUUCCACACAGUCGCAUAAAGUCUAACUCACACACUUCUCUUCUAUGAUGCCUUUCCUCAUCACAGCUGAAGUUCUCUUCUCUUUGUUUUUUUUGUACCACACUCUAGCCCAGUGGCUCUCAAGCUUCCUAAUGCCGUGACCUUUUAAUACAGUUCCUCAUGUUCUGGCGACCCCCAACCACAAACGUAUUUUCUUGCUUCUCAACUAUAAUUUUGCUAAUGUUACGAAUAAUAAUGUAAUAUAUGAUAUGCAGGAUACCUUUGUGAAAGAGUCUUUGGACCCACAAAGUGAUUUGGACUCACAGGUUGAGAACUACGACUGUAGAUCUCCUGUUCUUCUUGUUCCUUGCUUUGUGCUAUUGUCUGAGGAGGUGCUUUCUCUUACAAGGUAAUUAGAUUGUUAGUAGUAGAAUCUGAGCUAUUCGGAAGGAUGAUUUUGUGCAUGUCAGUGUCUUUCUCCCAGCCAGUUUGAUGUAACAACCUCUGUUGUGGAUUAGUCUUUCCAAAGGUGUAUUCUUAGUGUCACUUGAUCUUGCUUUGUACUGUUAUUUGUGUUUAUGAGCCUGACUCAGUAGACAGUACUUGUAGCUGCAAACAGCAGGUAAAAUAUGAAUACGUGAGUCUUGCCCCUGACUGAAGCAGAAGAGAUCUGUAGAUUACCCUUCAUUUACUCUGUUUAGUUAUUUUAUAUACUUGCUUAUUUUAAAAAAUCCCUAUAAAUACCUCUUAUACUCUUUGUUUCCAGUUCCUAUGUGCUGGUUUAGAAACACUGUUUUAUGUGGUGCUGCCCUGCUCUGAAAGAUAUAUUGUCUUACAUUAAAGUACAUUUCAUUUAUUUUCAUGCCCUAUUUAGGGCAUUGUUUUGUCAGCCAUAGGGCUGACCUAGAUGUUCACAAAUGGGGCAUUCAGAGAGACAUACCUGGAGGCGCUGUGGGGGUGCUGGCAAGCUCUGCUUUGCACAUUUGUCUCUAUGCAUGUGCUCAAGCUUUAAGCAAAUGCAUAUUCUUGGCAUUUGUUUUGAUUUUAUUUCCUGUGGUUUUGGAAAUGUGCUUAUGCACUUAGUAAUGUUUUGGGAGUAAUUUUCUCAGUUAACCAUGAAUGUUUUAUCUUCCCAAAUUGUCAAGGAAAGUACAUCUCAACAGGUAAUGAUUUGCAAAAAGCCUAACAUUCUAUAUAAUUAAAAGAAAUUAAAACAACUCUCCCUUAAGUGUGCAGUCAAAGGUAAUUUUAGCCUGUCCCCAAACAGGUUAAAAGCUGCCUAUUUGGAAAUACGUUAUUGAUUUUACUCUCCUUCUAUAGAAAAGCAAAAUGAAAUGAUGUUGUAAAUUUCCUUUAACAAAGGAGAAAACCGAAUUAUUCUAGACAUAGAUUUUACUCUUGUUUUUUUUUUUAUAACAGAUUACUAUCUUACAGUUUCAAAAGUUAACCAUAAAUAAGUAUAUUGAAAACUGAGUUAUUUUUUCUUUCCUUUGUUAAAUUAUAAAAAACCUACCUAUAUUUAUGAGCCUAAUAAAAAUGUAUCAAACGUCAUUUCCAUUCCAUUUGUGAAAAUAUUUGUGCUUUAAUGAGUCUGUGGAGAUGGGACUUCUGGAGAGAUGACGGUAGGAGCCUUUAGGUGACGAGUGGGGUUGUUCUUCCUCAUACAGGCUAAUUCUUAGUUGAGAAGAUGAGUUUUUAAAAUAGGAAACAAAAGGGUUGUAUUUUCCCUGUAGUUUUUGUACUUUUACUAUCUUUGGACAAGUAAGAAUGGCGCUUUUCCCUUCGCCUUCAGCUUGUCUACUCCAUCAACCUUUGUGAUGCUCCUGACCUUUCACGUUUUACUUGCCAUGUCUUCUGUCCCCUGCCACUCAGUCUGAGCCUUUAGCCAGGCAAUCCAUGUCCUUUGCUUUCUGAGAUUGUAAAAGGUGAGAGUUAUGCUGAUCUUUAGUUUUUGAUCUGUUAACUAGGCAUCCGUGCUUCCCAUUUAAGGCAAGAUCGUCUGCAGACGGGCUCCUCAGUCUUACCAAAGCUUGUGUGUGUCUGAUCAAUUCUGGAUUUCCCCAGUGUGUAGACGAGAGUGACAUAUCACCUUUGAUGAUAUGAUGCUUAGGAUAUUUGAAUUUGUUAGCAUGGCCAUGAUUUGAUAGCAGCUUGGGGAGUAUUAGGAAAGUGUAUUCAUGAUCUCUUACUCUGUAGCAGUAUGUCCUAGUAUCUUUUCUGUGGCU
rnacentral:lncRNA from 1 species